GAUGAACGCUGGCGGCGUGCCUAAUACAUGCAAGUAGAACGCUGAAGGAAGGAGCUUGCUCUUUCCGGAUGAGUUGCGAACGGGUGAGUAACGCGUAGGUAACCUGCCUGGUAGCGGGGGAUAACUAUUGGAAACGAUAGCUAAUACCGCAUAACAGUAGAUGUUGCAUGAUAUCUACUUAAAAGGUGCAAUUGCACCACUACCAGAUGGACCUGCGUUGUAUUAGCUAGUUGGUGAGGUAACGGCUCACCAAGGCGACGAUACAUAGCCGACCUGAGAGGGUGGUCGGCCAACCUGGGAAUGAGACACGGCCCAGACUCCUACGGGAGGCAGCCGUAGGGAAUCUUCGGCAAUAGACGGAAGUCUGGCCGAGCAACGCCGCGUGAGUGAAGAAGGUUUUCGGAUCGUAAAGCUCUGUUGUUAGAGAAGAACGAGUGUGAGAGUGGAACGUUCACACUGUGACGGUACCUUACCAGAAAGGGACGGCUAACUACGUG
rnacentral:rRNA from 1 species